rnacentral:rRNA from 1 species
GUGCCAGCAGCCGCGGUAAUACGGAGGGGGCAAGCGUUGCUCGGAAUUACUGGGCGUAAAGGGUCCGCAGGCUGUCAGGCAAGUUGGUUGUGAAAGCUCAAGGCUUAACCUUGGAAUUGCAUCCAAAACUGCCUGACUAGAGUCCAAGAGAGGUUGGCGGAAUUCCCGGUGUAGCGGUGAAAUGCAUAGAUAUCGGGAGGAACACCAGAGGCGAAGGCGGCCAACUGGCUUGGUACUGACGCUCAGGGACGAAAGCGUGGGUAGCAAACCGGAUUAGAUACCCGGGUAGUCCACGCCCUAAACGAUGGAUGCUAGGUAGGGGGAAUUUAUUUCUCCCUGCCGUAGUUAACGCAUUAAGCAUCCCGCCUGGGGAGUACGGUCGCAAGGCUGAAACUCAAAGAAAUUGGCGG